rnacentral:rRNA from 1 species
UACGUAGGGUGCGAGCGUUGUCCGGAAUUAUUGGGCGUAAAGGGCUCGUAGGCGGUCUGUCGCGUCGGGAGUGAAAACUCAGGGCUUAACCCUGAGCCUGCUUCCGAUACGGGCAGACUAGAGGUAUGCAGGGGAGAACGGAAUUCCUGGUGUAGCGGUGAAAUGCGCAGAUAUCAGGAGGAACACCGAUGGCGAAGGCAGGUCUCUGGGCCACUACUGACGCUGAGGAGCGAAAGCGUGGGGAGCGAACAGG